rnacentral:rRNA from 1 species
UACGAAAGGGGCUAGCGUUGUUCGGAAUUACUGGGCGUAAAGCGCACGUAGGCGGCCUUGUAAGAUGGGGGUGAAAUCCCUGGGCUCAACCCAGGAACUGCCUUCAUGACUGCAAAGCUCGAGGAUGUGAGAGGUUGGCGGAAUUCCGAGUGUAGAGGUGAAAUUCGUAGAUAUUCGGAAGAACACGGGUGGCGAUGGCGGCCAACUGGCACAUUUCUGACGCUGAGGUGCGAAAGCGCGGGGAGCAAACAGG